rnacentral:rRNA from 35 species
AAAGUGUUUCUAGAAUGAA